UACGGAGGGUGCAAGCGUUGUUCGGAAUCACUGGGCGUAAAGGGCGCGCAGGCGGUUUGAAUAGUCAGAUGUGAAAGCCCACGGCUUAACCGUGGAAGUGCAUUUGAAACUGUCAGACUUGAGUACCAGAGGGGAAAGUGGAAUUCCCGGUGUAGAGGUGAAAUUCGUAGAUAUCGGGAGGAAUACCGGUGGCGAAGGCGACUUUCUGGCUGGAUACUGACGCUGAGGCGCGAAAGCGUGGGGAGCAAAC
rnacentral:rRNA from 1 species